GCAGUGCUUCAAACCUGGAAUUUCCUGCUCUUAUACUCCUAGAUGCAUUUGCUCUGAAGGAUCAAACUCUUAGACACUCCAAAUUUCAGCUUCAGCUGCACUGUGGAAACUGGAGAAUGGGUAAGAAGCUGUGAUCUAUCGACUGGCAUGAGCACUUCUCUAGUGCUACUCUGGAGCUUCAAAUCCUGUCGUCUGUGGAUCAUGUUCCACCUUGUUUCCUGGUUACUCUUCUGAUGUCAACUGCACGUAGGCUUCUCUUUCUGUUUCUGUCUUCCAUUACUGGCAAACCGCGCACUUAAGAAGACCAAAAUAGCUUGCAAGUGAUCAUCUGCAGGCAUCUAGCCCAAUUUCAGCUCUUUAUUCAUCGUUGCACAAAUCACUACAGAGUUAUUGCUACUCCUCUAUGUUCUACCAUAUGAGAUCGGGCAAAAUUGAGGAUAUUCCGAGGGCAAUGGCAGAAACCAAGCAAUUCUCUAUUAUGCUUCUUCUAGUGCUGUGAUCAAUAUCUGCGUGGAGCCACAUUGAUGCAUCAGCUAUCUCCCAGAUUCUAUCCGGAAGAGCAUCUUCUGAAAAUUUAUGUAGAUCAAUUGAAUCCCUAAACAUAUCAUCUGUUGGGCUCCUUCCUGUGAACAUCUCAAGAAGCAAUAUGCCAAGGCUAUAAACAUCUCCGAGAGUUGAGACUGUGGAACCUUCACCAUAUUCUAUAAUUGCCCAAAAGAAAAAUACUGAUUAGAAUGCCAUGCUUAUAUAGGAACUAGGAAUAAUGAUCAAGGACAAAAUCAAAUCAGUUUCAGUUACCUGGUGCAACAUAGCCAAUGGAGCCUCUUAGUCCAAUUGUGCUAUUGGAAUUUUGCAGAGUUCUACUUGCACUUUCUGGAAGGAUUCUAGAUAUGCCAAAGUCUCCAACUCGAACACUCAUGUCUUCUGUGAGAAGAAUGUUGCUUGGCUUGAGAUCACAAUGAACAAUUGGUGGCUGACAGUGAUUAUGAAGAUAGUCCAAUGCAUCCAUGAUAUCAACAGCAAUGUUUAGCCUUUGUUCUAGGCUUAGAGUAUUGCUUAUAGUGGGCAUACCAGAUUUCGGAUGAAGCCAACCGUUCAAGCUACCAUUGGGCAUGAACUCAAAAACUAGUGCCUUAAACUCUUCAUGGUGCUGAUUGAUGCUGGAGCAACAAGUGAUGAUCUUUAAGAGACAACGGUGGCGCAUCCGCCUCAGUGCCUCACAUUCAGCCACAAAACUUCUAUUGGAUCCAGAUUGUUCAAGGUUAAAAACCUUCACGGCGGUGAUAGUUUGCUCAUCUUGAAAUGUGCAUUUAUAUACCGCUCCGAAGCUUCCUUUACCAAGUAAAUUGUCUUCGGAGAAUCCAUUUGUUCCAUUUGCUAUUGUUUGAUCUCAUGUGGCAUGGAGCUAAAUGAAGCUGAGGUAUUCCACCACAGAGCUCGUUGUUCCCUCUAAUUGAAAAGUUACCGAAAUUUUUGAAAAUCCCCUCUUGAGGCACCUCCCCUUGCAGGUUGUUGAAGGACAUAUCC